rnacentral:rRNA from 1 species
UAGGGAAUCUUCGGCAAUGGGGGGAACCCUGACCGAGCAACGCCGCGUGAGUGAAGAAGGUUUUCGGAUCGUAAAGCUCUGUUGUUAAGGAAGAACGAGUGUGAGAAUGGAAAGUUCAUGCUGUGACGGUACUUAACCAGAAAGGGACGGCUAACUACGUGCCAGCAGCCGCGGUAAUACGUAGGUCCCGAGCGUUGUCCGGAUUUAUUGGGCGUAAAGCGAGCGCAGGCGGUUAGAAAAGUCUGAAGUGAAAGGCAGUGGCUCAACCAUUGUAGGCUUUGGAAACUGUUUAACUUGAGUGCAGAAGGGGAGAGUGGAAUUCCAUGUGAAACGGUGAAAUGCGUAGAUAUAUGGAGGAACACCGGUGGCGAAAGCGGCUCUCUGGUCUGUAACUGACGCUGAGGCUCGAAAGCGUGGGGAGCGAACAGG